rnacentral:ncRNA from 1 species
AAAAUGUUUGGUUUUGGUAUUUGAAUUGAUUGUUUCAUUAAGUUAUAUGGUUAAAUUUUUAAUAAUUAUAAUUUUCCAGUAAUAGACAUUAUUUUUUUAAUUUAUAUUAUAAUUAGAAAUUGAAUAGUAUUAGAUAAAAAUUGUGCCAGCAUUCGCGGUUACACAAUUUUAAUAAAAUUAAUUUUUUGGGAUUUUAAUUUUUAAUAUUACUGAAUCUAUAAUCGUUGUAUUUAGGUGGAAUUUAUAUAAUAAAUAUUUUCAUUUUUAAAUUUUAAGAAAUAUUGGCAAUAAACUAGGAUUAGAUACCCUAUUAUACAAUUACUUAAAAUGUAUAUCCUGAAUGGUAUUAGUUACGUUCUUUUAGGCUCAAAAAAUUUGGCGGUAAAAUAUUCUUUUUAGAGGAACCUGUUAUUUAAUUGAUAAACCACGAUAGUUCAUACUUUUAUAUUUAUUUGUAUACCGCUAUAUUUGGAAUGUUUUUAAAGAAUAUUUUCUUUUUCUUCUUUAGAUUUAUAUUAGGUCAAGGUGCAGUUUUAUAAAAGUAAUUAUGGGUUACUAUAAUUUUAAAUAUGUAGGAGUAUUUCUUAGUAAGAGAUUUAAAUAAGGAUUUAAUAGUAAAUUCAAUUAAUUAAUUGAACUGAAUUUUGUUCUAUUUUAUGUACAUAUCGCCCGUCACUCCUAAUUUAAGAUUAGGAUAAGUCGUAACAAAGUAACUUCACCGGAAGGUGAAGUUAGAAAGUU